UACAGAGGUCCCAAGCGUUGUUCGGAUUCACUGGGCGUAAAGGGUGCGUAGGCGGUCGGGUAAGUCUGAUGUGAAAUCUCACAGCUUAACUGUGAAACUGCAUUGGAUACUAUUCGGCUUGAGAGUUGGAGGGGGGACUGGAAUUCUUGGUGUAGCAGUGAAAUGCGUAGAUAUCAAGAGGAACACCAGUGGCGAAGGCGGUUUCCUGGACAGUUACUGACGCUCAGGCACGAAAGCAUGGGGAGCAAAAGGG
rnacentral:rRNA from 1 species